CCUACGGGGUGCAGCAGUGAGGAAUAUUGGUCAAUGGCCGGAAGCCUGAACCAGCCAAGUCGCGUGAGGGACGACUGCCCUAUGGGUUGUAAACCUCUUUUAUAAGGGAAGAAUAAAUGCUACGUGUACCAUUUUGCCUUUACCUUAUGAAUAAGCAUCGGCUAACUCCGUGCCAGCAGCCGCGGUAAUACGGAGGAUGCGAGCGUUAUCCGGAUUUAUUGGGGUAAAAGGGUGGGUAGGCGGGGUUUUAAGUUAGCGGUAAAACGUGGGGGCUACACCUUGAUUUGCCCUGGAUACUGUAAGGCUCGAGUACAGAAGAGGUAGGCGGAAUGAGUGAAGUAGCGGUGAAAUGCUUAGAUAUAACGUAGAACCCC
rnacentral:rRNA from 1 species